GCGACCUCAACUCAAGCAAGACUACCCGCUGAACUUAAGCAUAUCAGUUAACCGGAGGAAAAGAAACUAACU
rnacentral:rRNA from 1 species